AUGCAGAUCUUCGUCAAGACCGUCACCGGGCAGACCCUCACGCUCGAGGUCAAGGGCACCGACACCGUCGACAAGCAAGGGACGAUCACCGGCACCGCCUCCCAAGACGACCCGCACCAUCUGCCGUCCCUCGUCUUCGCCGGGAAGCAGCUAGAGGAGGAGGACGGCCGGACGCUGGCCGACUACGGCAUUGGCAAGGAGUCGACGCUGCACCACGUGCUCGGCCUCCGCGGCGGCUUCCGGCAACGAAGCUGCUACCCCAAUCACAUCAGCCCCAGCCUCCUAGCGCUUGCGCUCCGCUACAACGAGAACGAGAUGAUCUGCCGCAAGUGCUAUGGACGUCUUCCUCCUGGGGCUACCAACUGCCGCAAGAAGAAGUGUGGCCACAGCAAUGACGUAUGUAUAUCUCUCUCUUCAUAUUAG
rnacentral:rRNA from 1 species